GAUGAACGCUGGCGGCGUGCCUAAUACAUGCAAGUCGAGCGAACAGACGAGGAGCUUGCUCCUCUGACGUUAGCGGCGGACGGGUGAGUAACACGUGGAUAACCUACCUAUAAGACUGGGAUAACUUCGGGAAACCGGAGCUAAUACCGGAUAAUAUAUUGAACCGCAUGGUUCAAUAGUGAAAGACGGUUUUGCUGUCCCUUAUAGAUGGAUCCGCGCCGCAUUAGCUAGUUGGUAAGGUAACGGCUUACCAAGGCAACGAUGCGUAGCCGAUCUGAGAGGGUGAUCAGCCACACUGGAACUGAGACACGGUCCAGACUCCUACGGGAGGCAGCAGUAGGGAAUCUUCCGCAAUGGGCGAAAGCCUGACGGAGCAACGCCGCGUGAGUGAUGAAGGUCUUCGGAUCGUAAAACUCUGUUAUUAGGGAAGAACAAAUGUGUAAGUAACUAUGCACGUCUUGACGGUACCUAAUCAGAAAGCCACGGCUAACUACGUG
rnacentral:rRNA from 1 species